rnacentral:rRNA from 1 species
GGAUUAGAUACCCUGGUAGUCCACGCCGUAAACGAUGAUAACUAGAUGUUGGGUGAUUUAAUCACUUGGUAUCGCAGCUAACGCGUUAAGUUAUCCGCCUGGGGAGUACGGCCGCAAGGUUAAAACUCAAAGGAAUUGACGGGGGCCCGCACAAGCGGUGGAGCAUGUGGUUUAAUUCGAUGCAACGCGAAGAACCUUACCUACCCUUGAAUCCACGAAAGCUUCUAGAGAUAGAGGCGUGCCUUCGGGAAUCGUGAGACAGGUGCUGCAUGGCUGUCGUCAGCUCGUGUCG